CUGGCUUCCCGUUUGCACUGAGGCAUUGACUUUCCAUCUUCUGCUGCGGUGCCAAAUUCCCCAAUGGGAUGGCAUCCAUGUGUUCUUAAGUCUGUCCGGUGCCACGCCACCCCCAACAGGCUCAGGCUAGGGGGAGCAGAAAGAUGGAGCAGAAAAAGAUUAUUGAAGAUUGAAGACAAAACUUUUGGUCUAAAGAAUCAGAAAGGAGGAGCAAAGCAAAAGAACUUUAUCAAGGCCUUCGGUCAAGUUAAAUUAAAAUCUACGUCAGGUAGUACAAUGUGAAGCUGAAGAGAAACUGAAGAAAGAUGAUAGCAGGAGUUAAACGAGCUGUUCAAACCUGUAGUUGCUGCUCAGAAAAUAAGUAAAGUUGCAGAUCCCAAAUCCGUGGUUUGUGGCUUCUUCAAGCAAGGACUGUACUGAAGGAGAAUCAACAGGAUGUCAUUUCCCAAGCUGAUUCUGGAGGGCUUACUCUCCUCUACAAAAGGAAUAUUCUCCCUAUGUCUUCUCUUCUGACUUCUGACAUCUUGCAAUUCUUCAAUGGCUACUCUCUACUUCCCUCUGACGGCUUUUAAAAGAUCAGGAACAUGACAAAAAUGUCCACUCCAGCAUUUAUUUGUUUUUUGAAGAAACCCUCUCCAUUUUGAUUGAGUACUGUUCUGUUGUCCUGCACAACACAAUAUAUAGCAAGGAAAAGAAAUAACAGAUGCCAGAUGGGGAAGGAAGAAGUAAAUCUCUCAUUGUUUUCAGAAAACAUGAUUGUCUAUGUAGAAUAUCUGAUGAAAUCCAUUAAAAUACUGUAAGAACUAAUAAGUAAGUUUAGCAAGAUUCAGAAUCCAAGGUCAAUAGACAACAAAUAAUUGUAUUUCUGUAUUCUAGUAACAAACAGAAAUAGAAACUUAAAAUAUUUACAAUAACAUCCAAAAUAUGAAACACACAAGGAUAAAUCUAACAAAAGAUAUGAAUGAGCUAUAUGAUAAAAACCCUAAAAUAUCUCUAACAAAAAUUAAAUAAAGUCAAUUAAAGAGAUAUUUCAUGUUGCU
ensembl:lncRNA